UUUCAAUCAAUUGACUUCAGUUGUUACAUUUUCAGCACCCAAUAGACAAUACCUUUAAAACAGCUAGUUUCUCUAGACACCCUUGGCGAAGAUCAUUUGAAGCAAAGCUUUAGCAACAUCGACCUUACUUGUCAGAGUAUGUAGGAGAUGCAGCUGCUCCAUAUCCCUAAAAGGCCCAAGAGCCUCGACUCACUUGCUCAUUAAUCAUUGAUAGCUCAUCAAAUUUAGGGCUGUGUGGUCCAAUUAUAUGUUUUUAUCAACGAUCAGUACAUAAAAGAGAAAAGAAAAGAAAAAUCAUUCAGUCUUCAUUUUUAAAUUUCUUCAUCUCUUCCUCUCUAAUCGCUAGAUAAUGAUGAUGAUGAUGAUGAUUCAGAUUCUUCUUCUUAUUUCCCAAAUGCAUCUUGACAUAAAAAU
rnacentral:misc_RNA from 1 species